UGGACAAUCAGCCGCCCCUCACAUCACCGGAUGGCUCCAGUAAUGGGAACCCACCAGAGAGAUGUCCCCGUCCUCUGUAUACCCGGGAUUUCACACCGGAAGAUCAGAGUGAAGAUCUGAAUAGCAUUAAAGUUGAGGGUGAAGUAGAAGAGACGUAUGUGAGGGAUGAUCAGCAAUAUACGGAGGAGGCUGGAAUGACGAGGACAUUCAUAGAG